UGUGUGUUGUGCCGUGAAAGGGUGCCAGCGUCGACGAGAGAACAGUACCAACAACUUCUGCUGCUGAUUCCGGCUACAGUUCGGAUGCAUCGACAGAGGCUAGCAUCCUCAAGCAGCCAUGGCGCCAUUGUGCAGUUGUUGGCUGUACCAAGCCAACACAACCUAUGCAUCGGAUGCCCCAAAAGGACGAGCUGCUGUGCAAGUGGCUGAAGCUAAUUGGCCUGCCUAAAUCGGAGACACGUACUUUCUUAUUCGUGUGCCAGCGGCAUUUUGCCGCCGAUGCUUACACCCAGAACCCAGACCUGCAGGAGGACAUGGGCUUCACUGCGAGGUACUACCUGCGGUCAGAUGCGAUGCCAUCCCUGUCCCUUCCCAGUGAACCAGUAAGUGCGCAUUAUUCCU
rnacentral:lncRNA from 1 species